AAAACACAAAACGUGGAAGCACCAAACGCGUUUGGACAAUUUGGGCCAAGCCACACAAAAGCUUUUAUGGAAUAACCAAAACGAAGAAUAUCCCCUUCCACAGACGGAUCCUUCUUCCCGAUAUCUCCCCCAUUUAUCAUAUUUCAUUUCUUCACCUUCUCCUUCCUCCUCCUCCUCGAUAUGCCCAUUUGGCACUUAUAUGUAUCUCAAUCCCAUGAUUAAAUCAAACCCAUUCCAAUUCAAUCCCCUCUGUCCCCAAAGCUCCAAUCUUUUCCCGUAAUUCCCAUCUCCGGCGAAUGGUGGUGGAUUACGCCUCUCUGAUUUCGAUCCCCAAAACCAGGAAUCAGAAUCGCAUUCCUUCCCCAAUUUGAUCCAAUUCCCAGCUCCCCCAUUUGCGACGAAUUGGGGGUUUUUUAUUUUUAUUUCAGGGGCAAAGCCGGCCGCGGACCAUGUCGGCUUUCCCAUGACGGCAGACACCAACCCCCGCGCCGCCGCCGACGGCUGCUGCAACCCCGUCAAGAAGUCCGGGCCCAUCAGCAUGGAUCACGUUCUUCUAGCUCUGCGCGAGACCAAGGAGGAGAGGGAGCUCAGGAUUCGGAGCCUCUUCAAUUUCUUCGACUCUGCCAAUCUGGGUUACUUGGACUAUGCUCAGAUCGAGGCCGGGCUCUCGGCGCUUCAGAUUCCGCCCGAGUAUAAGUACGCAAAGGAUUUGCUCAAGGUUUGUGAUGCUGAUAGGGAUGGAAGGGUCAAUUACCACGAGUUUCGACAGUAUAUGGAUGACAAGGAGCUGGAGCUGUACCGCAUUUUCCAGGCCAUUGAUGUGGAGCACAAUGGCUGCAUUCUGCCGGAGGAGCUCUGGGAGGCGCUCGUCAAGGCUGGGAUUGAAAUGGAUGAUGAGGAACUUGCUCAUUUUGUGGAGCAUGUUGACAAGGAUAACAAUGGAAUUAUAACUUUUGAGGAAUGGAGAGAUUUUCUGCUGCUUUAUCCGCAUGAAGCAACUAUUGAGAACAUAUAUCAUCACUGGGAAAGGGUAUGCCUUGUGGACAUUGGAGAACAGGCUGUUAUUCCAGAAGGUAUCAGUAAGCAUGUUCAUAGGAGUAGAUACUUUAUUGCAGGGGCUAUAGCAGGAGCUGCUUCUCGUACUGCUACUGCUCCUCUUGAUCGGUUGAAGGUGGUUUUGCAAGUUCAGACAUCACGUGCAUCUGUUGUGCCUGCAAUAAGGAAGAUAUUUAAGGAAGAUGGAUUUUUGGGGUUUUUCCGAGGUAAUGGAAUAAAUGUUGUGAAGGUGGCACCUGAAAGUGCCAUCAAGUUCUAUACGUAUGAAUUGUUAAAAAAUGUUAUUGGAGAAACUAUGGGGGAGAACAAGGAUGAUAUUGGUACCGCGGGUAGACUUUUGGCUGGUGGUAUGGCAGGUGCCGUGGCACAAACUGCUAUAUACCCACUGGAUCUUGUGAAGACUCGGUUACAGACUUGUGCUUCAGAAGCUGGAAAGGGUCCUAAAUUGGGGAUACUGACCAAGGAAAUUUUGACUCAUGAGGGACCACGGGCCUUCUAUAAAGGACUACUACCAUCUCUUCUUGGGAUUGUCCCCUAUGCUGGCAUUGACCUGGCUGCCUAUGAGACCUUAAAAGAUAUGUCAAAGACAUAUUUUCUUCAUGAUAAUAGUGAUCCUGGCCCUCUCAUCCAAUUGGGAUGUGGGACAGUCUCUGGAGCUCUUGGAGCAACAUGUGUUUAUCCCUUGCAGGUUAUUCGCACCAGAAUGCAAGCUCAACGUUCUAACUCAGCAGAAGCUUAUAGAGGAAUGUCUGAUGUAUUCUGGAGAACGCUUCAGCGUGAAGGAUAUAGAGGUUUCUACAAGGGGUUGUUUCCAAAUCUUCUGAAGGUUGUGCCAGCUGCAAGCAUUACAUAUAUGGUAUAUGAAGCCAUGAAGAAGAGACUAGAUCUAUAGUGGAUGCGGUAGUCAUACCUGAUGGUAACUACACAGAUCUUGUAGUUAGAAAUUGCAUUCGUGUUGAUGGUGAUAAUAAGAAUGGGAUAACUGAUUAUGAGACUACAUAGAUCUUGUAGUCAGACUUGCUGGCUACAGAAAAAGAUUCAGGCAAAAAGUUCUCUUUUUUUCCUUUGAUUUACUUUUCUGUGUUAUUUCUGGAGUUGCAUUCUGCCAAUAAAUCCAUAUCGGAUGAGAGAGCACAUAAAUCCAUGCAUCAUGGGAGUUAUGACUGUCACUGAGUAGUGGCACGCAAAGAUGACUCAUUGCAUUCAAUGAGAUAGUGGAGGAAACCAAGUAUGAAUUAGUAUCUCUCGGAUAGUGGGCUAAAAAGCUGAAUAGACUGAGAAAGACUUGCUUUUAUCAGUAUAUCACGAAAGGUGGAACCAUUGUUGGCGGGUAACUCUCGACGGUUGAAUUAGUAGCAGAAGGCUCUACGAAGACGGAGAGAAGCGCCAACCUGCAUAAGUCGUCGACGGUGGUCACUCUACGCCGCCAGAUAUCGAGAGGGUCGUACGACGAUGUGAACUCCUCCCUCAGCAGCGAGUAAGUGGUGUUGUUGGUGACGGUGGCGACAAGCGACAAUAAUGGUGAUUACGUUCGCGCCAUUAUUCUGGAGAAAAGCUAUGACGGUGACGGAGACGACAAGUACCAGAAAGGCUGAUGCAGCCAUCAAUGAAAUGAAGAAAGGAGAGAGUGGAGCAAAUAUGAGAUUUUGCUAGUGGAAUUGCAGUUAUUUCAAUUAAUUGCUAGUACUUCAUUUAACAUGAAAUAUAAUAUCUACCAAACAAUCUGUUCAUGAAUUACAAAUA